UGGUGAUUCUGAGAAGGAGCCAGAAGAGCCCAGAUGAAAAGCCCUGCUUUCUCUCCCUGAGCUGUGACCCCAGUGGAGGUGAAGGAAUCGUUUCUGUUGGCAUUUUAAGUUCAGCAAGAAAUAUGGAAGUGUACUUAGGAGAGGAGUACUGUGGCACCAGUAGGGGCAGGAGUGUUGGUAAUGUGCUGGAUACCAGUGAACAUGAAAAGAUUAUUUUGUA